rfam:TPA: Bos taurus chromosome 25, whole genome shotgun sequence.
UUCCUGGUGGUCCAGUGGUUAAGACUUUGCCCUUCCAAUGGAGGGGGUGCAGGUUCGAUCCCUGCUUGGGGAA